UACGAAGGGGGCUAGCGUUGUUCGGAAUUACUGGGCGUAAAGCGCACGUAGGCGGACUAUUAAGUCAGGGGUGAAGUCCCGGGGCUCAACCCCGGAACUGCCUCUGAUACUGGUAGUCUAGAGUCCGGAAGAGGUGAGUGGAAUUCCGAGUGUAGAGGUGAAAUUCGUAGAUAUUCGGAGGAACACCAGUGGCGAAGGCGGCUCACUGGUCCGGUACUGACGCUGAGGUGCGAAAGCGUGGGGAGCAAACAGG
rnacentral:rRNA from 1 species